UUGUCUCAAAGAUUAAGCCAUGCAUGUCUCAGUACAAGCCAAAUUAAGGUGAAACCGCGAAAGGCUCAUUAAAUCAGUUAUGGUUCCUUAGAUCGUACCCACAUUUACUUGGAUAACUGUGGUAAUUCUAGAGCUAAUACAUGCAAACAGAGCUCCGGCCGGAGACGGCAGGAGCGCUUUUAUUAGAUCAAAACCAAUCGGCGUGGAUCCUUGUGGUCUAUUGUCGUUAAUUAUGGUGAAUCUGAAUAACUUUAUGCUGAUCGCACGGUCACGCACCGGCGACGUAUCUUUCAAAUGUCUGCCUUAUCAACUGUCGAUGGUAGGUUCUGUGCCUACCAUGGUUGUAACGGGUAACGGGGAAUCAGGGUUCGAUUCCGGAGAGGGAGCCUGAGAAACGGCUACCACAUCCAAGGAAGGCAGCAGGCGCGCAAAUUACCCACUCCCAGCACGGGGAGGUAGUGACGAAAAAUAACGAUACGGGACUCAUCCGAGGCCCCGUAAUCGGAAUGAGUACACUCUAAACCCUUUAACGAGGAUCAAUUGGAGGGCAAGUCUGGUGCCAGCAGCCGCGGUAAUUCCAGCUCCAAUAGCGUAUAUUAAAGUUGUUGCGGUUAAAAAGCUCGUAGUCGAAUUUGUGUCCUACGCCGCCGGUACAUCGCUCGCGGUGUUCCACUGGCGUGUCGUGGGACGUCCUGCCGGUGGGUGCGGUCAUAUUGGUAUUUAGGGUUUGCCUGUCUACCCGUUUCGGUAUAUUCUGCUGGAAUGUGGUAUGUACAGUGUAUAAUUCCGGUACUAUAUGGCGGCCCAACUUGAAAUCCCGCCGCGGUGCUCUUCACUGAGUGUCGAGGCGGGCCGGCACGUUUACUUUGAACAAAUUAGAGUGCUUAAAGCAGGCUAAAAUUUCGCCUGAAUACAUCUUGCAUGGAAUAAUGGAAUAGGACCUCGGUUCUAUUUUGUUGGUUUUCGGAACCCCGAGGUAAUGAUUAAUAGGAACGGAUGGGGGCAUUCGUAUUGCGACGUUAGAGGUGAAAUUCUUGGANCGUCGCAAGACGAACAGAAGCGAAAGCAUUUGCCAAAAACGUUUUCAUUGAUCAAGAACGAAAGUUAGAGGUUCGAAGGCGAUCAGAUACCGCCCUAGUUCUAACCAUAAACGAUGCCAGCUAGCGAUCCGCCGACGUUCCUCCGAUGACUCGGCGGGCAGCUUCCGGGAAACCAAAGCUUUUGGGUUCCGGGGGAAGUAUGGUUGCAAAGCUGAAACUUAAAGGAAUUGACGGAAGGGCACCACCAGGAGUGGAGCCUGCGGCUUAAUUUGACUCAACACGGGAAACCUCACCAGGCCCGGACACCGGAAGGAUUGACAGAUUGAGAGCUCUUUCUUGAUUCGGUGGGUGGUGGUGCAUGGCCGUUCUUAGUUGGUGGAGCGAUUUGUCUGGUUAAUUCCGAUAACGAACGAGACUCUAGCCUGCUAAAUAGGCGUAUUUUCGACAUCUCAAAGGCCCCCCAAUUGUUACUUGCUUUCACCUCGUGUGGGAGUUAAGUGCAGUUGUGGGCGGUUUUUACUGUCGGCGUACAUUUCAUUCUUCUUAGAGGGACAGGCGGCUUCUAGCCGCACGAGAUUGAGCAAUAACAGGUCUGUGAUGCCCUUAGAUGUUCUGGGCCGCACGCGCGCUACACUGAAGGAAUCAGCGUGUCCUCCCUGGCCGAGCGGUCCGGGUAACCCGCUGAACCUCCUUCGUGCUAGGGAUUGGGGCUUGCAAUUGUUCCCCAUGAACGAGGAAUUCCCAGUAAGCGCGAGUCAUAAGCUCGCGUUGAUUACGUCCCUGCCCUUUGUACACACCGCCCGUCGCUACUACCGAUUGAAUGAUUUAGUGAGGUCUUCGGACCGGGGCGCGGUGACGUUCCAACGUCGCCGAUGUUCAUGGGAAGAUGACCAAACUUGAUCAUUU
rnacentral:rRNA from 1 species